rnacentral:rRNA from 1 species
ACUCCUGCGGGAGGCAGCAGUGGGGAAUAUUGGACAAUGGGCGCAAGCCUGAUCCAGCCAUGCCGCGUGAGUGAUGAAGGCCCUAGGGUUGUAAAGCUCUUUCACCGGAGAAGAUAAUGACGGUAUCCGGAGAAGAAGCCCCGGCUAACUUCGUGCCAGCAGCCGCGGUAAUACGAAGGGGGCUAGCGUUGUUCGGAAUUACUGGGCGUAAAGCGCACGUAGGCGGAUCGAUCAGUCAGGGGUGAAAUCCCAGGGCUCAACCCUGGAACUGCCUUUGAUACUGUCGAUCUGGAGUAUGGAAGAGGUGAGUGGAAUUCCGAGUGUAGAGGUGAAAUUCGUAGAUAUUCGGAGGAACACCAGUGGCGAAGGCGGCUCACUGGUCCAUUACUGACGCUGAGGUGCGAAAGCGUGGGGAGCAAACAGGAUUAGAUACCCCAGUAGUCCCAUGAU